UGAGGAAUAUUGGUCAAUGGGCGAAAGCCUGAACCAGCCAUCCCGCGUGCAGGAAGACGGCCCUAUGGGUUGUAAACUGCUUUUCCAGGGGGCGAACAGUCGCGACGUGUCGUGAUCUGACGGUACCCUGGGAAUAAGCAUCGGCUAACUCCGUGCCAGCAGCCGCGGUAAUACGGAGGAUGCGAGCGUUAUCCGGAUUUAUUGGGUUUAAAGGGUGCGUAGGCGGACAAAUAAGUCAGUGGUGAAACCCUGCAGCUUAACUGUAGACUUGCCGUUGAUACUGUUAGUCUUGAGUAUGGUCAAGGUAGGCGGAAUGUGUAAUGUAGCGGUGAAAUGCUUAGAUAUUACACAGAACACCGAUUGCGAAGGCAGCUUGCUGGGCCAAUACUGACGCUGAUGCACGAAAGCGUGGGGAUCGAACAGG
rnacentral:rRNA from 1 species